UACGUAGGGGGCUAGCGUUGUCCGGAAUCAUUGGGCGUAAAGAGCGUGUAGGCGGCCCGGUAAGUCCGCUGUAAAAGUCAAAGGCUCAACCUUUGAAUGUCAGUGGAUACUGCCGGGCUAGAGUCCGGAAGAGGGCGAGUGGAACUCCUGGUGUAGCGGUGGAAUGCGCAGAUAUCAGGAAGAACACCAACGGCGAAGGCAGCUCGCUGGGACGGUACUGACGCUGGAGACGCGAAAGCCGUGGGGAGCGAACAGG
rnacentral:rRNA from 1 species